AACGAACGCUGGCGGCAGGCUUAACACAUGCAAGUCGAGCGCCCCGCAAGGGGAGCGGCAGACGGGUGAGUAACGCGUGGGAAUCUACCCAUCUCUACGGAAUAACGCAUGGAAACGGGUGCUAAUACCGUAUACGUCCUUCGGGAGAAAGAUUUAUCGGAGAUGGAUGAGCCCGCGUUGGAUUAGCUAGUUGGUGGGGUAAAGGCCUACCAAGGCGACGAUCCAUAGCUGGUCUGAGAGGAUGAUCAGCCACACUGGGACUGAGACACGGCCCAGACUCCUACGGGAGGCAGCAGUGGGGAAUAUUGGACAAUGGGCGCAAUCCUGAUCCAGCCAUGCCGCGUGAGUGAUGAAGGCCCUAGGGUUGUAAAGCUCUUUCACCGGUGAGGAUAAUGACGGUAACCGGAGAAGAAGCCCCGGCUAACUUCGUGCCAGCCGCCGCAGUAACAC
rnacentral:rRNA from 1 species